rnacentral:lncRNA from 1 species
AAUAAUCAAGGAUCGAGUAAUUAAUUAAUUAAAGCUCUUGAAUCAUGGAAGUAAUGCAUGAAUGCAUCAAGUAAUCCGGAUCAGAAUAGUAAAACCAAAGAAGCACAACUUUUAUUCCCGCAGAUAGUCUUAGCCUAGGUUACAUAAAUUAAUGCAUGAAUGCAUGAGCAGCAGCUGCAUGCAAUAUUAUUGAACCCAAAUCACAACAAAAGGAAAACUUAAGACAAUGCCACUUUCGCAGGGAACGCGAUUGCAUUUAGCGUAUGCAACAAGCCUUUUAAACCUAUAGGUGACCCUGAUAGGACGAGUGAAGUCUCGUGAGGGUUUCCAGUGACGCUACCCACAAACAUCGUAUUAACUUAACAGGAUGAUCAUCCUGGAAGUUUUUCGACAAUGAAGAAAUGUUCAUGGGUGGGGCCUCCAGGUUCUGCAAUGAGGGCAUUUUCGAACUCGUUUCCAGAUUUUGGCUUUAAAAGGUUUCCCAUUUUCUCAUGGUGGAACUUGUAUAUGCCUUCGGUGUACGGUCCUGGUGGUUUCACAACCUCAGGCUUGAAGAGUGUACAUGACCACAGCGUUUUAUUUGGCUGUUUCUCGUCAGCCCCGGCCACAAUCCACGAACUGUCUUGGCUUGCCGUUAUCCAGUAUUUGUCGUUGUAGGUGGAUUUUAUAUGCACCAGACUGGGGAGGUUUACGUCCUUCUCCACUUUGAACCUUGCGUAUUUGCUCUGAACAUCCUCUCCGGAGCAUUGGAGAAUAUCUUGCAUCUUUUCGGUGGCUUGGUCUUUGUAGACCAAGUAUUUACCGCUCGUGAAUGAUUUAAGAGCAAUGAACUUUGGUAAUUCUGCCAUUUCUGAUGAUCUCUCGCUCGCGCUUCAAUUUUUUUUUAUGUAAACUCACUUCUCUCUCUCUCUCUCGUUGCUUAUUGCUUUUCCUAACUCCAACCUGCUGUGCUAUUUAUAAUCAAGCAAACCCAAACCCUGCAUGCAGCUCUGGCUUCUUUUUCUUGCUGUACUGGCCCGCGAUAAGAAAAUUGAAGCCACAAAAAAAAAAAGUCGAGCCAGGUGGCAGUUUUGAAAGGUCAAGUAAUAUUGUUCUUGAUAUAAAACAAACUAAAGCGUGCUCCACGUCUUCAAAUAAAACAAAGUUAAGGCUAGUAAUUAUCGACAUCGAUAUUUUGCGAUAUUAUCGUCGAUAUUGUCAAUAUUUAUACGAUAUGUACAUGGAUAUGUUUCGAAAUAUCCGUGAUUCAAAAAAACCGAAAUAUCCUCGAUAUUUCCUCGAUAUUAUCGAUAUUUCAGACUAUGAUGUGAACUUGAUUAUGUAAUUUCUACUACAUGCACUUAUGGGACAUAACCAUUUAUCAAUUAUAAUAAUGUCACAUAAAAAUUGAAGCCACAAAAAAAAAAAAGUCAAGCCAGGUGGCAGUUUUGAAAGGUCAAGUAAUAAUGUUCUUGAUAUAAAACAAACUAAAGCGUGCUUCACGUCUUCAAAUAAAACAAAGUUAAGCCUAGUAAUCUAUUCUCUGUUGUAAUGUGAACUUGAUUAUGUAAUUUCUACUACAUGCACUUAUGGACAUAACCAUUUAUCAAUUAUAAUAAUGUCAUCGACUAGGACUGAACAGCGACGGCUGAAGGCCCAGCUCAUUCUUAAUCUUAGGCAACACAUGUGCUGGGUUUCAUUUCAUAAAUUCAUAACCAAACCAAGCUAGGUCAUAGAAGGAAGCAAAUUAAGCAAUUGAAAUCCACAUCGGCUGAAAAAAUCUCUCUUGAAAAACCAUAUAAUUGGAGGGUCUGCAAAACUAGACUGUGUGUACGUAGCCAACUUUAUUAAAAUGCCAAUUCAAGUCCUAUGAACACACAUUUCCUUGAAAGUUGCUGGCCAAAUUUUCUUUGUUUUGGUUUUCAAUGAGUUCGAUUUCCUUGAGCAUCACUGAAAAGAUAUUAUAUAUGUGAAAUCUUUUUGUCAGUCUUUGAAUUUACCCAAUGUGGGUGAUCAAUUUUUAUGAUUGCAUUCUAGACUUCUCCUUAGUACAAAACAAAACUACGUGAUUGAUUGAAACGUCAUUAAUUAAUUUAGACAUAUAGGCAUUUGCAUUAAUUCAUUCUAGAUAGUAGAUACACAUCUCCAUAACGCAGAAAGAAUUAGCAUGUCCUUAAUGUGAACUUCGUUAAUAAAUUGAAGAGGAGUUGGAGAACAGUUAGAUGAAUGAAUUAAAGAGGAGUUGGAGAGACGCGGAUGCAAGGGCACACUAAGAAAACUACAGGGUUUAUUUAUAGUUUUAGUGCUAAUAAUGGGUAUAUGACUAAAUAUCUCUAUAAAAAAAAUUAGUGAAUUUAAUCAGAAUGUAAUGACUUAUAGAAUUUUACCUUGGGGCACUUUAAGUCCGUUCCUCCUUAAUAAAGCAUCACUUAAUAGAUUUGAAUUAUGAGCUGAACCCUCCCACCCGCUAAAAACGUAAAUGAAUUCUAAAUCAAAGUUACAAGCUACUGAAACCAUUUAUCAAUUAUAAUUAUGUCAUUAAUUAGGAUUGAACAAUAUGAUUGUAAUGCCAUUUCUAAAGCGUGCUUCACGUCUUCAAAUAAAACAAAGUUAGGCCUAGUAUUUUCUUCUUUAUUGUUUCGGUGCUUAAUGUGAACUUCAUUAUGUAACUUCUAUUACUUGUACUUAAGGGCCAUAGCCAUUUAUCAAAUUAUAAUGAUGUCAUUAAUUAGGAUUGAACAACAAGGUCGUUGAGAUGUUUACAUACUUUAAUUACAGACAUAUGAUAAGUUUAGGAGAGUGAUAUGUAGUUUCAAUUAUUCCUUUCACACAUACCCUAAACUUUAAACCCUAAACCCCUUUCUCUUAAGCAAAAUCUAUCGGUUUUGGGUAAGUUUGAGACACUUGUGGACGAUUGUUUUUAAUUUGGACCCUAUGAAAAUACCUGUAGGAUGUCUAUAUAAAUACCUAGAGAAGGUUAAAUAGGCUAAUUCGAUUUUUGCAAUGAAUAAUAAUCAACUUUUGAAGUAGGAUUGAUAUGAGUUAUCAAUCCUGAAAUGUGCAGAGCUUAAAAUAAAAGAACACACAGAUAUUUAUUUUACGUGGUAAAACCCCACAUCUGGGGAAAAUCCACGGGACUCCUUAGUCCAGAACGAAUCCACUAUAGAAUUGAGAUUACAAGAAGUUCUCACACACACUUAUCCUAGACUCAAUGUUUACCGACUUAUUCAUAAUGUUUACCGACUUAUUCAUAACUCAACUUUUGUCAUGGGAUGAUCUUCGACACUCCUUAUGUUGAACGCAAUAUUGGUCACGAUUGCUUCAAGCUCACCGGAGGAUAAACGCCACAAACGUCUUGAUGCCCUUGACCGUAUGAGCCACUGACAUGCAUAUGUAUGCAAUAUGAAUGAUGAAUGAGUUUGAUAAAUCACCAAGCAACCAGGAGCCCUUGAUGACUUACCGAGAAAAAUAAGUACAGUAGCUUUUCCAAAAAACAGAUUCAAUAUGCUCUCAAAAUCAAUGCGUUGAAAUGCUACACUAUGAAAAGAAGACACCUUGGUUUUAUUCAAAACAGGUUCUCUCAGUCAAGAGAAACCUACUUGACCACCAAUCCAAUUCACGAAAGACUUUCAACCUUAUUCAACUACCACACAACAAAACCUGAUGCAAUAUGGACACUAGUUAAACAUGUCAAACAGGAGACCACUCAUACUGUUCAAGCAUGAAUGUUUCUUUUGAUUCAAUUUACAUGCUAUGUGAUGAUGCCAGCUAAUGCACGAUGUGAGGAAACCUCAUGACUUUCUACUACAGCCAAUCCUUUAAAACAAUAUCUACCUAACAAAUUAAUUAGACCGAUCAAGUAGGAAAUAAUAUCAAGAGAUAAAAUAUAAUCUUAUUGAAAAUAGGAUUAACAUAAAAAUACUUGAGUGAAAAUAAUUUCAAUUAGGAGUCCUAUAAUGAAUGCAUGAUUAUGUUAUGAUUUACCUGUUGUCAAGUUUCUCAUAUGGUCAGGUCAUGCCUCGGAAGUAUAGGGUUGAGAGAGUUGUGCCAAAGCGUCCAGUAACAAUUCCUCACAAACUAAUUUUCAACUUAUGCUAAAGUCUAGGAAAUGCCAAUACGAUUUUCGUACUAACACCCUACAAACAAAUAAAUUAAAGAAAAAAAAGUAAAAGAAGAAAAGAAUAUAAAUUCAUAUAUCUCAAUUUCUUGUGUGAAGCUUUUAAAUUCAUUUCAAAACUAAAAUUAAAAUUUAUUUGUUUUGGUUUUCAAUAAGAUUAAGUUGGAUUUCCUAAAGCAUCAUCACUGAUCUGAUGGCAUCAGAUAAGUCUUUGAAUUACCUAAUGUGAUUGAUUGAUUGGAAUGUAUCCUUAAUACUAAAAAAAAACCAUGUGAUCGACACGUCAUUGAGCACUUCCACUCUAUCGGCAAGGGCAAGGCAAGAGCAAGAGUUUAGGAUAAGAUUUUUAGUUGCCACUUGUCCAUAUUUAUUAUAACAUUCACAUCUCAAAUUUCAUAUAAAAUUUUCGAAUAAGAUUUUCGAUUGCCACGUAUCCAUAUUUAUUAUAAAAUUCACAUUUCACUCAUCAUACAAUUGAAAUACUUGUUCACUCAUCAUACAAUUGAAGAUAUCAAGAAAUUUCGAAAAUUGGGCAUCCACUUUGUUUUUUCGAAGACGUUGAGGGAACGGAAUUGGCGGUACAUAUGGCUUUACAAGGGCAGCAGGUUGAGAUAAUUUCUCUACAGUAGCAGGUUCAAUUUCUGGAGAAAUUUCAUCAAGUUGUGCAGUAGUUCCAGCAGUAAUAGACGACGACGACGGCACGUUAGUAAUUUCUGAUGUCUCUGCAGUUUGUUGAUGGAUAUUCUUUUCUUCAUCCAAGUCUACUGCUGUUUUUAUUGGCCUCCCAUUCCAAAGAGUUAUCGCCCUCGCAUGUUCUUGGUUUUUCGGAUUAUUCUCUGUUUGGCUUGGCAAAGCUCCAUUUACUCUUCCUGUCAAUACAUUAGCUAGCUGGCCCAUCUGAACCUCCAAGUUUCGAAUAGAGGCAGCUUGGUUCUGAAGGGUCGUCUCGGUUUUGCUCAUAAAUUGAUUUGUAUUGACAGAGAGAGUGUUGACAUUUCCAGCAAGUUGAGUAAUUAUAUCCUCCAAUCCAUGCUUCUUUUCUUGAGGUGUGAAAUCAGGUGGAGGUCCCUGUACAUUUUGGUUAUUACUCCAUGGAAAAUUCGGAUGGUUCUUCCAUCCUGGGUUAUAAGUGUUGGAGUAAGGAUUAUUCCGUUGUCGAUUAAAAUUAGAGACUUGGUUCACUUGUUCAGAUGGUGAUGUGAAUGGACUAGCUCCACACUCAUUGCCAUGAUGAGGUCCUGCACAAAAUUCACAACUUAAAUUAGUAUACUGAAUAGCAUUAACAUUUAUAGUACCAAGUUGUUUAGACAUAGUAGAAAUUUGCGCAGUUAACGCAGAUAUGGCGUCAAUCUCAUGAAUUCCAGCUUUCUUUGGUGUUGAUCUCUCACUAGGCCAUUGAUAGUUAUUUGACGCCAUCUCUUCCAGCAAGUUAUACGCUUUAGUUUCUGUUUUUCCCAUCAAAGCUCCUCCGGCUGCAGCAUCAAUUGUUGUUUUGCUUGUAUUGUUCAAACCAUUGUAGAACGCUUGAACUUGCAUCCAAGUAGGUAGGGCAUGAUGUGGGCACUUCCUUAGCAUAUCCUUGUAUCUGUCCCAUGCUUCAUAAAAAGGUUCCAUGUCAUUCUGAGCAAAUGACAUGAUGUCAUUUCUGAGUUUCGCAGUCUUUGCAGGAGGAAAGAAUUUAGCUAAAAAUUUCUUGGCCAAGUCGUCCCAUGUAGUAAUCGAAUUAGGUGGUUGAGAAUUCAACCAUGACUUUGCCUUUUCCUUUAAUGAGAAAGGAAAAAGCCUUAAGCGAACAGCAUCAUUGGUAGCUCCAUUGCGCUUAAAUGUGUCACAUAUCUCCAAGAAAUUAGAGAUAUGCCUAUUAGGGUCUUCUUGAGGUAAACCACAAAAGAUGGAGGAUUGUUGAAUCAUUGAAAUUAUGGCUGGUCUGAUUUUAAAAUUAUUGGCAUCAAUGGUUGGACGACGAAUGCUCGAUGGUGAUGCCACCACAGAUGGGACAUCAUAGUCCCUUACUGGUUUUGCUUCCACAGCCAUAGGUGAUGGCUUUUCCAAUAUUGCGUCCUUGCCCCUUUUGAGUUUGUUAAGCUUGUGAAGUGUUCGCUCGAUCUCUAGAUCUAAUGGUACAAGCACAAGACUCUGCGAACGUCUCCCAAAACUCAUGCACUAGGUGAAGUACCUAAAAAAACAAAAAACAAAAUUCAAAUUAAAAUUCAAAUCAAUCUAUAUCGAUAUUAAUAAAAUUUAAAACACUCUCCGACGGCGGCGCCAAAAACUUGUUGUGAUAUUUAUUGCAAGCGCACAAUUCGCACAAGUAAUAUAGUGAUGAGUGAAGUGUCGUUCCCACGAAGAGUGAUUUAAUUUAACAAGUACCGAUUGUGAUUAACCCAAGACUUUAUUUGAACAAUUGAUGAUGAGAUUUGAUUGAUUAAUUAACUAAAACAAUGAAUAAAAACAAGCGUAGAAAAAUAAAGUAGUGAGAUUCAAGUUAUGAGAGCACUAGAGCUUCCGAUUUCACCAUAGCCAAUUCUACCCAAUUCCUUUAGCAUGUUAAUCCUAAUUAUUCUCUAUGUUGACAGUUGAUUUUCCCUACUUUAUUCGAUACUCCAUCCCUGGUUAUACCAAAAGUAUUCUUAUUACCAACCCACUCUAUCCCUAGUAAUGGAAUUAAGAUAAUAAGAACCCAUUAAAUUCCUUGGAAAACCUACAAAACAACCACAUAAGUCAUGACAAACAUCUCUGUCUAAUCAUGUAACUCAUGACAUCUAUUACAAGAAGCAACCCCAAAUUGGAUAUUCCUAUUUUCAAUUUAGCAUCAAAACAAUUAAAUGUUGGCCAAACAUUCAAAGCAUUAAGCAUGGUAAUAAAUACUCAACAUGGAAAAAAUACUUGGAAUUAACAUCGACUAAAGUAAUUGAGCAUUCAUGGCUAGGCUACAUCGUAGCCCUAGCAAGAAGAAAUUAGUUCAUGACAACUUUAAUAAAAACCAUGAUAAAUAGUAUCAUAGGAAAGAAGUAACCAAUUGAAGAUUUGAUCUCUGCACGACAGCAACUCUAGCUCCAGGUUGUCUUCUUUGUCUCUCUAAAACUCUCUCAACAAUAGAUGAUGGGUAGAUGAUGGAGGAUGGAUGAUGGGUAAUGGAUCCUUUCAACAAUGACCUAAACUCCCUAUUUAUAAAACUCCUAGAAAUCCUACCUAAAGAAUAAUUACAAUUGUUAUAAAAAUAGGAUUCCUUCUAAAAUAAGGUCUUCUUUAUUUCUCCUUGUUUAACUUGAUAAGACUUGCACCAUCUUGAACUAGGAAAUUUGACAACAUUCCUUGCAACAAAAGGAAUGACUUGGCUUCUUUUUUUAUUGAUUUUCAUCUCCUUGCCUUUUUUAGCACACUUUCUCCUAUUUCACAAUUCCUUCACAAAUCUCACAAAACUAAUUAAAAACAACCAAUUUAAUCCAAGAAAUUAAUAAAUAAAUAAGCAAAGGAGGCAUAAAAUAUAUAUAAAAUAUAGACUUAUCAAAUACCCCCAAACCUGUCUUUUGCUAGUCCUCGAGCAAAACUGAAAAUCAAAAAUAAAUUAAAACAAACAAACUAAAUUAAACCACUUUUGCAGGUAAUCUCGAUGGCACUUAGCAUGUGCCACAAGCCUUUAAACCUCUAGGUGCCCCUAGUAGGAGGAGUUGUGUCUCUUGAGGGUUUACCAGUCAUGACACCCACAGACACUUCUUGCAAAACAAAUUCGUUAAAGCAAUACUUCCAACAAACUAAUAAUAACCAAUGAAUGCUAAUCACAAUUCAAAAACUAAAGUUAUGCCACUACAAAUAAAAUGCACCAUAGUGUAAAGUGUAAAGUGUAAAGCCAAAAAUCCAACAUUGAAACAUAAAGAUAACCACAUUAGGCGUGUGUACAAAUUCGUCUCGACUCUAGGCCUUACUGGAUAACUCUCAAUUUUCUCACAGAACCUAGGGUUGCACUCUUACCCCGCAUAUGUGAAUAAAGUUAGGUGAAGAAUUCAAAAUAUAAGACACAUAUGCAUCCAAGAAUCAAUAAAAGGAAAUUUCUAACAAUAGAUCUCAUGGAAAGGAAAUCAAAUACUAAAAACCAUAGAUGAAGUACAUACCUCUACUUCCGAGUAAGAAGUCCCCAAAAAUCCGUUAGGUCUUUACUAUGGUUGUAAUGAAGGGCUAGGUUAUGGGUUAUGAAAGAAAAGGAAGGAAAUACUAGAACUUGAGACAUGCCAAGGCAUUUAUCACGUUAUAAGGCUCGGCUCUUCAAAUUUACUUCACAGAGGCGUCCAGGAUUUUUGAUAUGCUUCACAUUUUUUUUUCUUUAAUAGAUUUCUCUUUUUUUUUUUCCUUUCUUUUUAUUUAUUUAUUUAUUUUUAAGCACAUAUUUCCUCGGUACACGCCACCUCUUUUGUUAAUUUAGAGAUUAACCUUCAUCCUUGUCUUCAUGCCAUGGCAUAUCCCAAGUUAUAGGGUAUGGCUAAAAAUAGGGUGAAAAGGGUAAGAAAAUAUUGUGGGUGAUGAAAGAAAAGGCUAAGUGUUUGGCUUCAAAGGGUUGAUGGCACACACAAUGGGUAGGACAUGAGUUUUUAUUUAGUGGCUAGAACAUGCAUAGCCUAACAUCAUUUCUCAAGGUCCAUCCAACUCAAAAGUAAAAGCAUGAGAUGAUUCCAAAAUAGAGAGUAGUUCUUAGUAUUCAACUCAAAAGCCUAAUUGAGAUCAAUUUAAAUAAGAAAGAAAGAAAAUAGUGAAUAAGACUAAUCCCAAAUACUCUCUCAAUGAAUGGCAAUUUGGCUCAAGUAUCUCACAAUGGUAGUCUCCACUAUUUCUCCACAAUCAUCCAAGUAUAGCUAGCUUGUCUAUUAAAAUACUUGAAGCAUGGCCAUGUGAAGUGCUAUACUUAUGAUGCAUAAACUUUCAUGGCAACACUUUAGUUAAAGAAAUAUGAUCAAACAUCACAUAUACAUCACUAUUAGUAAGAGAAAGUAAAAGCUUUAACAAAUUUUUUUUUUUUUUUUAAAAAGUUAAAGGCAUUUUGUGAUUUUUUUCAAACAAAUGUGAGUGAAUUUAUGGGCCAUAAUUGCUUAGGGAUAAAGAAAUUUCAUCAAAAGGAAGAGGACACACCUGGAAUAGCUCCUAGAAACCUCUGAUCACAAAUGGAAUGGAUCAUAAUUGAUUUGGAAUGAAAUUAGAAAAUUCUGGAAAAUUGACCUUUAGCGACGAAAAAUCUGAUGAAACACCGUCGCUAAAAACCCUUUUGUGACGAAAAAUCUUCAUAUUCUGGGUAGGUAGCAGCUAGUCUUUUUUGGGUUUUAGGCCACUUUUUUAGCUUCAAAUCUCCCUAAAACGUCAUGUAAAGCACUUGAGACCCCCAAAACAGUUUCAAAUCAUCAUAAUAACCAUUCUAAACAUGUUGGUGGCUUCAAAUUUGCCUGAAAAACAUCAAAAAGGAAAAUAUGUAAAAUUUUUAAUUUUGACCAAAAUAAGAACAUAAUAACCUAUUUUGCUAUUUUCUGGGUUUUAAAGUCAUCUAAUGGCCAAAACAACAUCUGGAACAUGUUUGCAAUCAUCACGGGGCUAGAAAAAAUCGAGAAAUGUUCUUUGAAACACAAAAUCCUUUCUUUGGAACACAAAAUCUUUUUUUCUUUUUUUUUUCUUUAUGACUCAAAACUCAAACAAAAAACAACUAAACUCCACACCCCCAAAUCUAAAUUAAGCAUUGUCCUCAAUGUUUAAAGUAAAUGCAUGUAAAAAUUAGUAAAGGCAUAGAAGGAUGGAAAAUAAAGGGAAAACAAAACAAAAUAAAAUAAAAAGGAACGAAGGUACCUAGUUGGGUUGCCUCCCAACAAGCGCUUGAUUUAUAGUCCCCAGCCCGACUUGCGAGGUCAUCACUUUGGAUCAUGUAGAGGAAUGAAAGUUCGCUGUUGAUCAAAAUUGACUUCCAAGUAUGGCUUCACUCAUUGGCCAUUUACUUUGAAAAUAGUACCUUGUUCGUCAUGCCUAACCUCAAUAACUCCAGAAGGAAAUACUUGCACUAUUGUAAAUGGUCCAGACCAACGUGAUUUCAACUUCCCGGGAAAGAGUCGGAGGCGGGAAUUAAAUAGGAGAACUUUCUAACCAGCGAAGAAAUCCUUCCUUAGAAUAUGCUUAUCAUGCCAUUUCUUUGUACGCUCCUUGUAUAUCUUGGAAGUCUCAUAAGCUUCAUUACAAAACUCAUCCAUAUCAUUCAAUUGAAUUGCCCGUUUUUCUCCUGCUGCAAUCAUGUCAAAAUUGAGUGUUUGGAGUGCCCAAUGUGCCUUAUGUUCGAGCUCAACCGGUAAGUGACAAGCUUUCCCAAAAACUAGACGAUAAGGAGACAUGCCAAUUGGUGUUUUGAACUCCGUUCGAUAGGCACAUAAGGCAUCAUCCAAUUUCAGUGACCAAUCCUUUCUUGAAGCACUCACCGUCUUUUCCAAAAUUCGUUUUAAUUCUCUAUUGGAAACUUCAACUUGUCCACUAGUUUGUGGAUGAUAGGGAGUAGUAACCUUGUGGGUAAUACCAUAUUUAGCUAAAAGAUAAUUAAAUUGACGAUUGCAAAAGUGUGUACCUCUGUCACUGAUGAUGCCACGCGGAGUCCCGAAUCUGGUGAAAAUAUUUUUUUGGACAAAUUUGACAACCACCUUGGCGUCAUUGGUAGGGAGAGCGACGGCUUCAACCCAUUUCGACACAUAAUCAACAGCCACCAAUAUGUACUUGUUCUUCCAAGAUUCAGGGAAAGGUCCCAUGAAAUCUAUUCCCCAGACAUCGAACAAUUCAACCUCUAGAAUAUUAUUCAAUGGCAUCUGAUUUCUGCUAGAAAUAUUUUCAGUGCGUUGGCAUCGAUCACAGGCAGCUACAAAUGCAUAGGCAUCCUUGAACAAAGUUGGCCAAAAAAAUCCAGAUUGUAAUACCUUGGCUGCUGUUUUGGAGGCACCAAAAUGCCCCCCACAUGCCAAUGUGUGGCAAUGUCGCAAUAUGUCUUCCAUCUCCUCCUCAGGCACACAUCUCCGUAUAACUUGGUCAGGGCAAUGUUUCCACAAAUAUGGGUCGUCCCAAUAAUAAUGUUUAACCAAGGAGAAAAACUUCUUCUUCUGAUGAAACGAUAAAUCAGCUGGAAUGAUAGUACUAGCUAAAUAAUUCACAAAGUCAGCGUACCAAGGAGCUUCGGAUGAUCGAAUGGCAUACAAGUGUUCAUCAGGGAACAUCUCCAUAAUGGGUGCAGCAUCAUCACUCAUCUUUACCUCACUGACCAGCCGCGAAAGAUGGUCAGCUACCACGUUUUCGGACCCCUUUUUGUCUCGAAUUUCAAGAUCAAAUUCUUGGAGCAGUAGUACCCAGCGAAUUAAUCGUGGUUUUGCAUCUUUCUUCGAAAGUAAAUACUUUUAUCCAAGGAGAAGAUUACUACUAACAAUUCUUUCUCCGUGGUGGUAUAAUUCCGCUGGGCGUCAUUCAAAGUACGACUGGCAUAAUAAAUUACAUGAAGUAAUUUAUUUCUUCUUUGACCCAAAACUGCCCCUACCGCAUAGUCACUAGCAUCACACAUAAUCUCAAAAGGCAAGUCCUAAUCCGGUGCGACAAUGACAGGUGCAGAAGUAAGCUUCUCUUUCAAGACAUUAAAAUUAAAUUCUACAUCUUUAAGAAGGAGAUUGCAUAAGGGCUUCGUGAUUUUGGAAAAAUCUUGGAUAAACCGCCGAUAAAAUCCAGCAUGACCCAGAAAGCUUUGAAUCCCCUUUAUUGUAGUGGGCGGUGGCAAUUUCUCUACGGUAUCAAUUUUUGCCUUAUCAACCUCUAUGCCUUUAGCUGAAAUUUUAUGCCCUAGGACUAUCCCUUCUUGCACCAUAAAAUGGCAUUUCUCCCAAUUCAAAACCAAAUUGGUUUCUUCACAUCUUUUCAAAACUAAUGCCAAAUUAUGUAAACAAGAAUCAAAUGAUGAGCCAAAAACAGAAAAGUCAUCCAUAAAAACCUCAAUGAAGCGCUCCACCAUGUCCGAAAAGAUGCUCAUCAUGCAACGUUGAAAGGUGGCAGGGGCGUUACACAACCUGAAAGGCAUGCGCCUGUAUGCAAAAGUGCCGAAUGGGCAUGUGAACGUCGUCUUUUCUUGAUCUUCAGGUGCAAUUGGAAUUUGAUUAUACCCAGAAUAUCCAUCUAAAAAACAAUAAUAUGAAUGCUCAGCAAGUCUUUCCAACAUCUGAUCAAUGAAAGACAAGGGAAAGUGAUCUUUCCUUGUCGCAGUGUUCAAUUUCCUGUAGUCUAUGCAGACAUGCCAUCCUGUAGUUGUUCUUGUCGGGAUCAACUCAUUCUUAUCAUUUUUCACCACUGUAAUACCCCCUUUUUUCGGUAGGACUUGAACUGGACUCACCCAACUACUAUCUGAAAUCGGGUAAAUUAUUCCAGCAUCUAAUAACUUUAAUAUUUCAGCUCGCACAACUUCUUUCAUAUUCGGAUUUAAUCGACGCUGAUGCUCAACUGAAGGUUUAAAAUCAUCUUCCAUCAGAAUACGGUGCAUACACAUGGAACGGCUAAGUCCCUUAAUAUCUGCAAUAGUCCACCCUAUUGUCGUUUUAUGCUCCCUCAAAACUCAUAGUAAUUUAUCUUCUUCUAGUUUACUCAAAUUUGCAGCAAUAAUCACAGGAAGAGUUUCAAAAUUACCCAAGUAUGCAUAUCUUAAGUGGGAAGGUAGGGGCUUCAAUGUGAGGGUUGGUGCAGUAAUGACACUGGGUUGUGGCUUGGAGGUUGUGACGCUAAGCUCCUCAAAUUCGCGCCACCUUCCAGGGGGGCGCGGUUUCAUUGCUUCCAAAAAGUACACCAUCUCAGAAAUUUUAGGAUCCUCAUGCUCAGUAGUAACGGAAUGCACAAGGCAAGCCUUCAAUGGAUCAUAUGGAUGUUCUUCUUUAAAUUUUUCAGAGACAACUUUUUCCACUAUAUCCACUCGGAAGCAAGAGUCUGAUUCCACUGGGUACUUUGUUGCUUCAAAGACAUUGAAGGUCACCUGCUCAUCAGCCACUCGCAAAAUUAAUAAACCUUUGUCCACAUCAAUUAAUGUCUUCCCGGUUUUUAGAAAGGGGCGGCCUAAGAUAAUAGGGGUUUCGGCAUCUUCUUCCAUGUCUAAAAUCAAAAAAUCUGCUGGAAAAAUGAGCUUAUCAACUUUGACUAACACAUCCUCAAUUAUGCCUUUGGGAUAUGUUAUGGACCUGUCCCCCAUCUGCAAAGAAACAGUGGUUGGGUGAAUUACCCCCAACCCAAUAUGUUUAGCAAUAGAAGAAGGCAUUAGAUUAAUACUGGAUCCUAAAUCACAUAAAGCUUUUUCAAAGUAAGUGGUUCCAAUAGUGCAAGGUAUAGUAAAACUCCCUGGAUCCUUUAGCUUAGGUGGUAGCUUCCUCUGCAAAAUAGCACUGCAUUCUUCGGAUAAUUUCACUAUCUCAUGUUCGCCCAAUUUCCUCUUCUUUGAUAUAAUAUCCUUCAUGAAUUUGGCAUAACUCGGCAUUUGCUCCAAAGCAUCGGCAAAAGGAAUAUUUAUUUGUAAUUUCUUGAAGAUAUCAAGAAAUUUCAAAAAUUGGGCAUCCACUUUGUUUUUUCGAAGACGUUGAGGGAACGGGAUUGGCGGUACAUAUGGCUUUACAAGGGCAGCAGGUUGAGAUAAUUUCUCUACAGUAGCAAGUUCAAUUUCUGGAGACAUUUCAUCAAGUUGUGCAGUAGUUCCAGUAGUGAUAGACGACGACGACGGCACGUUAGUAAUUUCUGAUGUCUCUGCAGUUUGUUGAUGGAUAUUAUUUUCUUCAUCCAAGUCUACUGCUGUUUUUAUUGGCCUCCCAUUCCGAAGAGUUAUCGCCUCCGCAUGUUCUUAGUUUUUUGGAUUAAUCUCUGUUUGGCUUGGCAAAGCUCCAUUUACUCUUCCUGUCAAUACAUUAGCUAGCUGGCCCAUCUAAACCUCCAAGUUUCGAAUAGAGGCAGCUUGGUUCUGAAGGGUCGUCUCGGUUUUGCUCAUAAAUUGAUUUGUAUUGACAGAGAGAGUGUUGACAUUUCCAGCAAGUUGAGUUAUUAUAUCCUCCAAUCCAUGCUUCUUUUCUUGAGGUGUGAAACCAGGUGGAGGUCCCUGUACAUUUUGGUUAUUACUCCAUGAAAAAUUCGGAUGGUUCUUCCAUCCUGGGUUAUAAGUGUUGGAGUAAGGAUUAUUCCGUUGUCGAUUAAAAUCAGAGACUUGAUUCACUUGUUCAGAUGUUGAUGUGAAUGGACUAGCUCCACACUCGUUGCCAUGAUGAGGUCCUGCACAAAAUUCACAACUUAAAUUAGUAGACUGAAUAGCAUUAACAUUUAAAAUACCAAGUUGUUUAGACAUAGUAGAAAUUUGUGCAGUUAACGCAGAUAUGGCGUCAAUCUCAUGAAUUCCAGCUUUCUUUGGUGUUGAUCUCUCACUAGGCCAUUGAUAGUUAUCUGACGCCAUCUCUUCCAGCAAGUUAUACGCUUUAGUUUCUGUUCUUCCCAUCAAAGCUCCUCCGGCUGCAGCAUCAAUUGUUGUUUUGCUUGUAUUGUUCAAACCAUUGUAGAACGCUUGAACUUGCAUCCAAGUAGGUAGGGCAUGAUGUGGGCACUUCCUUAGCAUAUCCUUGUAUCUGUCCCAUGCUUCAUAAAAAGGUUCCAUGUCAUUCUGAGCAAAUGACAUGAUGUCAUUCCUGAGUUUCGCAGUCUUUGCAAGAGGAAAGAAUUUAGCUAAAAAUUUAUUGGCCAAGUCGUCCUAUGUAGUAAUCGAAUUAGGUGGUUGAGAAUUCAACCACGACUUUGCCUUUUCCUUUAAUGAGAAAGGAAAAAGCCUUAAGCGAACAACAUCAUUGGUAGCUCCAUUGCACUUAAAUAUGUCACAUAUCUCCAAGAAAUUAGAGAUAUGGCUAUUAGGGUCUUCUUGAGGUAAACCACAAAAGAUGGAGGAUUGCUGAAUCAUUGAAAUUAUGGCUGGUUUGAUUUCAAAAUUAUUGGCAUCAAUGGUUGGACGACGAAUGCUCGAUGGUGAUGCCACCACAGAUGAGACAUCAUAGUCCCUUACUGGUUUUGCUUCCUCAGCCAUAGGUGAUGGCUUUUCCAAUAUUGCGUCCUUGCCCCUUUUGAGUUUGUUAAGCUUGUGAAGCGUUCGCUCGAUCUCUAGAUCUAAUGGUACAAGCACAAGACUCUGCGAACGUCUCCCAAAACUCAUGCACUAGGUGAAGUACCUAAAAAAACAAAAAACAAAAUUCAAAUUAAAAAAAUUCAAAUUAAAAUCCAAAUCAAUCUAUAUCGAUAUUAAUAAAAUUUAAAACACUCCCCGACGGGGGUGCCAAAAACUUGUUGUGAUAUUUAUUGCAAGCGCACAAUUCGCACAAGUAAUAUAGUGAUGACUGAAGUGUCGUUCCCACGAAGAGUGAUUUAAUUUACCAAGUACCGAUUGUGAUUAACCCAAGACUUUAUUUGAACAAUUGAUGAUGAGAUUUGAUUGAUUAAUUAACUAAAACAAUGAAUAAAAACAAGCGUAGAAAAAUAAAGUAGUGAGAUUCAAGUUAUGAGAGCACUAGAGCUUCCGAUUUCACCAUAGCCAAUUCUACCCAAUUCCCUUAGCAUGUUAAUCCUAAUUAUUCUCUAUGUUGACAGUUGAUUUUCCCUACUUUAUUCGAUACUCCAUCCCUGGUUAUAUCAAAAGUAUUCUCAUUACCAACCCACUCUAUCCAUAGUAAUGGAAUUAAGAUAAUAAGAACCCAUUAAAUUCCUUGGAAAACCUACAAAACAACCACAUAAGUCAUGACAAACAUCCCUGUCUAAUCAUGUAACUCAUGGCAUCUAUUACAAGAAGCAACCCCAAAUUGGAUAUUCCUAUCGUCAAUUUAGCAUCAAAACAAUUAAAUGUUGGCCAAACAUUCAAAGCAUUAAGCAUGGUAAUAAAUACUCAAGAUGGAAAAAAUACUUGGAAUUAACAUCGACUAAAGUAAUUGAGUAUUCAUGGCUAGGCUACAUCGUAGCCCUAGCAAGAAGAAAUUAGUUCAUGACAACUUUAAUAAAAACCAUGAUAAAUAGUAUCAUAGGAAAGAAGUAACCAAUUGAAGAUUUGAUCUCUGCACGACAGCAACUCUAGCUCCAGGUUGUCUUCUUUGUCUCUCUAAAACUCUCUCAACAAUAGAUGAUGGGUAGAUGAUGGAGGAUGGAUGAUGGGUAAUGGAUCCUUUCAACAAUGACCUAAACUCCCUAUUUAUAAAACUCCUAGAAAUCCUACCUAAGGAAUAAUUACAAUUGUUAUAAAAAUAGGAUUCCUUCUAAAAUAAGGUCUUCUUUAUUUCUUCUUGUUUGACUUGAUAAGACUUGCACCAUCUUGAACUAGGAAAUUUGACAACAUUCCUUGCAACAAAAGGAAUGACUUGGCUUCUUUUUAAUUGAUCUUCAUCUCCUUGCCUUUUUUAGCACAUUUUCUCCUAUUUCACAAUUCCUUCACAAAUCUCACAAAACCAAUUAAAAACAACCAAUUUAAUCUAAAAAAUUAAUAAAUAAAUAAACAAAGGAGGCAUAAAAUAUAUAUAUAUAAAAUAUAGACUUAUCACUAUAUAUAUAUUCUUUACAAAAAUUUAAAGCUCCUUAAAGCCCAUAGAAACCGGUAAAGUCACAGUUUUUUUGACUUUUGAAUAUGGGCAAUACACGAGAAGAUGGACAGUAUUUUGAUAACUCUGUUUAGACUAAAAGCUAAGGACUGUCUAUUAACAAAUAAUUCCAACAUGCAACCUUUUUAAUUAGUCUACUUCCUGAUUGCAGAUGGGGAAGAACUCCACUUAAUGAAGCCCGCAUAGGUGGAAAUAAGAAACUAAUCAAACUGUUUGAAGUUGCUAGAACUUUGUAGUUGUCAGAGUUAUCUAAUCAAUAUCAUCAAGAAAUUAGCUAGCUAAGCAUUUCUCUGAUCAAAAUGAUAAAUUGUCGAUCGGCAAUACAUUUAUCCUUUGAUUAAAUGAUAAAUGUUUAUAAGACUUGGAACAAAAGUUCUGAGAUGUUAUAUGUGUGAAUUUUGUUAGAAUCUUUAAUUCUCUUUUCGAUUUUCUAAUAUGCGUACCUUGGAAAAUAUGAAUUGAACUAUUAUUAUUGUUGAUCUGACUUGGCAAUUCUCAGCGUCAAUUAUUCUUACUAGGCUUGUAAUAAUCAAGGAUCGAGUAAUUAAUUAAUUAAAGCUCUUGAAUCAUGGAAGUAAUGCAUGAAUGCAUCAAGUAAUCCGGAUCAGAAUAGUAAAACCAAAGAAGCACAACUUUUAUUCCCGCAGAUAGUCUUAGCCUAGGUUACAUAAAUUAAUGCAUGAAUGCAUGAGCAGCAGCUGCAUGCAAUAUUAUUGAACCCAAAUCACAACAAAAGGAAAACUUAAGACAAUGCCACUUUCGCAGGGAACGCGAUUGCAUUUAGCGUAUGCAACAAGCCUUUUAAACCUAUAGGUGACCCUGAUAGGACGAGUGAAGUCUCGUGAGGGUUUCCAGUGACGCUACCCACAAACAUCGUAUUAACUUAACAGGAUGAUCAUCCUGGAAGUUUUUCGACAAUGAAGAAAUGUUCAUGGGUGGGGCCUCCAGGUUCUGCAAUGAGGGCAUUUUCGAACUCGUUUCCAGAUUUUGGCUUUAAAAGGUUUCCCAUUUUCUCAUGGUGGAACUUGUAUAUGCCUUCGGUGUACGGUCCUGGUGGUUUCACAACCUCAGGCUUGAAGAGUGUACAUGACCACAGCGUUUUAUUUGGCUGUUUCUCGUCAGCCCCGGCCACAAUCCACGAACUGUCUUGGCUUGCCGUUAUCCAGUAUUUGUCGUUGUAGGUGGAUUUUAUAUGCACCAGACUGGGGAGGUUUACGUCCUUCUCCACUUUGAACCUUGCGUAUUUGCUCUGAACAUCCUCUCCGGAGCAUUGGAGAAUAUCUUGCAUCUUUUCGGUGGCUUGGUCUUUGUAGACCAAGUAUUUACCGCUCGUGAAUGAUUUAAGAGCAAUGAACUUUGGUAAUUCUGCCAUUUCUGAUGAUCUCUCGCUCGCGCUUCAAUUUUUUUUUAUGUAAACUCACUUCUCUCUCUCUCUCUCGUUGCUUAUUGCUUUUCCUAACUCCAACCUGCUGUGCUAUUUAUAAUCAAGCAAACCCAAACCCUGCAUGCAGCUCUGGCUUCUUUUUCUUGCUGUACUGGCCCGCGAUAAGAAAAUUGAAGCCACAAAAAAAAAAAGUCGAGCCAGGUGGCAGUUUUGAAAGGUCAAGUAAUAUUGUUCUUGAUAUAAAACAAACUAAAGCGUGCUCCACGUCUUCAAAUAAAACAAAGUUAAGGCUAGUAAUUAUCGACAUCGAUAUUUUGCGAUAUUAUCGUCGAUAUUGUCAAUAUUUAUACGAUAUGUACAUGGAUAUGUUUCGAAAUAUCCGUGAUUCAAAAAAACCGAAAUAUCCUCGAUAUUUCCUCGAUAUUAUCGAUAUUUCAGACUAUGAUGUGAACUUGAUUAUGUAAUUUCUACUACAUGCACUUAUGGGACAUAACCAUUUAUCAAUUAUAAUAAUGUCACAUAAAAAUUGAAGCCACAAAAAAAAAAAAGUCAAGCCAGGUGGCAGUUUUGAAAGGUCAAGUAAUAAUGUUCUUGAUAUAAAACAAACUAAAGCGUGCUUCACGUCUUCAAAUAAAACAAAGUUAAGCCUAGUAAUCUAUUCUCUGUUGUAAUGUGAACUUGAUUAUGUAAUUUCUACUACAUGCACUUAUGGACAUAACCAUUUAUCAAUUAUAAUAAUGUCAUCGACUAGGACUGAACAGCGACGGCUGAAGGCCCAGCUCAUUCUUAAUCUUAGGCAACACAUGUGCUGGGUUUCAUUUCAUAAAUUCAUAACCAAACCAAGCUAGGUCAUAGAAGGAAGCAAAUUAAGCAAUUGAAAUCCACAUCGGCUGAAAAAAUCUCUCUUGAAAAACCAUAUAAUUGGAGGGUCUGCAAAACUAGACUGUGUGUACGUAGCCAACUUUAUUAAAAUGCCAAUUCAAGUCCUAUGAACACACAUUUCCUUGAAAGUUGCUGGCCAAAUUUUCUUUGUUUUGGUUUUCAAUGAGUUCGAUUUCCUUGAGCAUCACUGAAAAGAUAUUAUAUAUGUGAAAUCUUUUUGUCAGUCUUUGAAUUUACCCAAUGUGGGUGAUCAAUUUUUAUGAUUGCAUUCUAGACUUCUCCUUAGUACAAAACAAAACUACGUGAUUGAUUGAAACGUCAUUAAUUAAUUUAGACAUAUAGGCAUUUGCAUUAAUUCAUUCUAGAUAGUAGAUACACAUCUCCAUAACGCAGAAAGAAUUAGCAUGUCCUUAAUGUGAACUUCGUUAAUAAAUUGAAGAGGAGUUGGAGAACAGUUAGAUGAAUGAAUUAAAGAGGAGUUGGAGAGACGCGGAUGCAAGGGCACACUAAGAAAACUACAGGGUUUAUUUAUAGUUUUAGUGCUAAUAAUGGGUAUAUGACUAAAUAUCUCUAUAAAAAAAAUUAGUGAAUUUAAUCAGAAUGUAAUGACUUAUAGAAUUUUACCUUGGGGCACUUUAAGUCCGUUCCUCCUUAAUAAAGCAUCACUUAAUAGAUUUGAAUUAUGAGCUGAACCCUCCCACCCGCUAAAAACGUAAAUGAAUUCUAAAUCAAAGUUACAAGCUACUGAAACCAUUUAUCAAUUAUAAUUAUGUCAUUAAUUAGGAUUGAACAAUAUGAUUGUAAUGCCAUUUCUAAAGCGUGCUUCACGUCUUCAAAUAAAACAAAGUUAGGCCUAGUAUUUUCUUCUUUAUUGUUUCGGUGCUUAAUGUGAACUUCAUUAUGUAACUUCUAUUACUUGUACUUAAGGGCCAUAGCCAUUUAUCAAAUUAUAAUGAUGUCAUUAAUUAGGAUUGAACAACAAGGUCGUUGAGAUGUUUACAUACUUUAAUUACAGACAUAUGAUAAGUUUAGGAGAGUGAUAUGUAGUUUCAAUUAUUCCUUUCACACAUACCCUAAACUUUAAACCCUAAACCCCUUUCUCUUAAGCAAAAUCUAUCGGUUUUGGGUAAGUUUGAGACACUUGUGGACGAUUGUUUUUAAUUUGGACCCUAUGAAAAUACCUGUAGGAUGUCUAUAUAAAUACCUAGAGAAGGUUAAAUAGGCUAAUUCGAUUUUUGCAAUGAAUAAUAAUCAACUUUUGAAGUAGGAUUGAUAUGAGUUAUCAAUCCUGAAAUGUGCAGAGCUUAAAAUAAAAGAACACACAGAUAUUUAUUUUACGUGGUAAAACCCCACAUCUGGGGAAAAUCCACGGGACUCCUUAGUCCAGAACGAAUCCACUAUAGAAUUGAGAUUACAAGAAGUUCUCACACACACUUAUCCUAGACUCAAUCUAGAUAAUGUUUACCGACUUAUUCAUAACUCAACUUUUGUCAUGGGAUGAUCUUCGACACUCCUUAUGUUGAGCGCAAUAUUGGUCACGAUUGCUUCAAGCUCACCGGAGGAUAAACGCCACAAACGUCUUGAUGCCCUUGACCGUAUGAGUCACUGACAUGCAUAUGUAUGCAAUAUAAAUGAUGAAUGAGUUCGAUAAAUCACCAAGCAACCAGGAGCCCUUGAUGACUUACCGAGAAAAAUAAGUACAGUAGCUUUUCCAAAAAACAGAUUCAAUAUGCUCUCAAAAUCAAUGCGUUGAAAAGCUACACUAUGAAAAGAAGACACCUUGGUUUUAUUCAAAACAGGUUCUCUCACUCAAGAGAAACCUACGUGACCACCAAUCCAAUUCACGAAAGACUUUCAACCUUAUUCAACUACCACACAACAAAACCUGAUGCAAUAUGGACACUAGUUAAACAUGUCAAACAGGAGACCACUCAUACUGUUGAAGCAUGAAUGUUUCUUUUGAUUCAAUUUACAUGCUAUGUGAUGAUGCCAGCUAAUGCACGAUGUGAGGAAACCUCAUGACUUUCUACUACAGCCAAUCCUUUAAAACAAUAUCUACCUAACAAAUUAAUUAGACCGAUCAAGUAGGAAAUAAUAUCAAGAGAUAAAAUAUAAUCCUAUUGAAAAUAGGAUUAACAUAAAAAUACUUGAGUGAAAAUAAUUCCAACUAGGAGUCCUAUAAUGAAUGCAUAAUUAUGUUAUGAUUUACCUGUUGUCAAGUUUCUCAUAUGGUCAGGUCAUGCCUCGGAAGUAUAGGGUUGAGAGAGUUGUGCCAAAGCGUCCAGUAACAUUUCCUCACAAACUAAUUUUCAACUUAUGCUAAAGUCUAGGAAAUGCCAAUACGAUUUUCGUACUAACACCCUACAAACAAAUAAAUUAAAGAAAAAAAAAGUAAAAGAAGAAAAGAAUAUAAAUUCAUAUAUCUCAAUUUCUUGUGUGAAGCUUUUAAAUUCAUUUCAAAAUUAAUAUUAAAAUUUAUUUGUUUUGGUUUUCAAUAAGAUUAAGUUGGAUUUCCUAGAGCAUCAUCACUGAUCUGAUGGCAUCAGAUAAGUCUUUGAAUUACCUAAUGUGAUUGAUUGAUUGGAAUGUAUCCUUAAUACUAAAAAAAAACCAUGUGAUUGAUCGACACGUCAUUGAGCACUUCCACUCUAUCGGCAAGGGCAAGGCAAGAGCAAGAGUUUAGGAUAAGAUUUUUGGUUGCCACUUGUCCAUAUUUAUUAUAACAUUCACAUCUCAAAUUUCAUAUAAAAUUUUCGAAUAAGAUUUUCGAUUGCCACGUAUCCAUAUUUAUUAUAAAAUUCACAUUUCACUCAUCAUACAAUUGAAAUACUUGUUCACUCAUCAUACAAUUGAAAUACUCCUGGUCUUCAUAGUUCGACACAAUCGAGUACAAGGAUGACUCAAUCAUUGGAGGAGGAGAUUCCACCGGAUCACGACGUGGGGGAGUAUUUUCCUUCGAAGGAAGUAAUUGUGCCAUUAUUUUCGACACGGAAAGCACCACUAGAACCGACUACUGACAUUGUUCACUUAAGGAGCCAUGUGUAAUGGUUUUCCUCUUUUUUGUUUUGUCUUGAAUAAUGUAUUAAAAUACAAGAAAAUAUAUUUUUAAAAAUGAUAUUAAAUUGAAUAAAACGAUAAAUUUAUUUUUUUUACAUCGUCACCAAGAUUUUGACCGCUUUGAACGUUUGUCCACGACCAUCCGGUUUCGAUGGAAGAGGCCAUUUGUAUUUUUACACAAAUAAAAUUUUGUAGUAGAAAAUUUGGUGUGGAAAGUGAAAAAUAUUGGAAGGAGAUGAAUUUAUAUGAAGAUUUAGUGUGGAAAGUGAAUAAUAUUGGUAGGUAUUUAUGGAAAAAAAUUCUAGAAUUUUUUGAUAUUUUUUUUACAGCUUUUUUUAGCCAUAAAAUGGGCAACCGUUGAAUUGGAAGACAUUUUUGGAUCGGAGCCUUCAGGAGAAGCUAUGUGCUUGUAGCUGUUGGUUUCUGGCAGUGCUAAUUUUUUUAAAUUAUUGCGCUGACGUUAGCUGCAUGAAAGCAAUACAACGGGCCAGAUCUCCCCAUAGGUCCCACUCCUUACCCGAGCUGGGUCUUGCACGCUGGAACUGCCUUUCAAACCUAGAGCACCCUCCUACCUGGGCUAGCCCCUUGCCCUGGACUUGCUCUAAGACAGAAGAAUUAGCAUGUCCUUAUUAUGUAAACUUCAUUAAUAAAUUUCUACUUUGUACUUGUGGAGGCCCAUAGGAAUUUAUGAAUUAGGAUUGAGAAACAAAGGUUCAAGGGAUUGUUCCAGCUAAUCUUUACCAUAAUAAUAAUAAUAAUAAUUGUUCAGGCCGGCAGCUAAUAAUUAAGUUGGCAUUUUUUUAAGUUUUUUUUUGUCCGGCCAAUAAUAUUAUUUUGGGCCCAAAAUGAAGUAAAGGACUAAAUGUAAAUACAGAAUUGGAAUGUGCUUUUGGGCCUUUUAAGUGGCAUAGGUGGAUCAUAAUAUUGAAGUAGCCCAAACUGUUGAUUUUGGGCGAGUGAACCGGUUCCGAAACCAUGGCCGAUCCUCUCAGUCUUCUUUGCUUUAGCAACUUAUGCUUUGCUUGCUUGGUGAUUAAGCCUAACUAAGGCAAAGCGGCAGCCAGAGCAGCAUCAUUCAGAUUCAGAAGAAGUAGCAAGUAAUUAAGUAAGCUUCAGCCUCACAAACAAAUAUCAAAGCGAAGCAAUCGAAUUUGACAAAGAGAGAGAGAGAAACAGUGAGAGAUCGCGAAAUGGCGUUGCAGUGGAUGAUACUGACGUACGUGGUGGCAGCAGAGGCAGCCUUGGCCUUCCUCUUAACCCUUCCCGCGCCCAAGCUCUUGAAGAAUCAAUUCGUGUCGUUGGUCUCUCUCAUCCUCCAACCUGCCCUCUUUAUCGUUCCAUUCGCCGGCUUUCAGCUCCUUGGUUUGUUUCUUCUUCUUAUUUGAUUUUAUUUUAUUUUAUUCCUAGGGCAUACCAUACCAUAGCAACAAUCUAGCAUCGGAUUUUCCAUUUGAUCUUUUUUACCUGUUUGGGUAAUGGAUUACCAAUUGAUCUUUGACUUGCCUCUUUCUUACUUUCUCUUUUCUUUUAAAUUCUGUGUAGAUAUAUAUUGGAAGAAUGAGCACCGCCUGUCCUGCACCUCUGAGAUCUGCACCGCUGCUGAGCGUGACCGCUAUGAGAAAUCCGUCAGUUUCUAACUACUACUCUCUCUCUCUCUCUCUCGUUUUAAUUUCUUAUGUGAUUCUAAUCUUUAAUCAAGUUGAUGAUGCCUGCAACUCUUCAGCAUGCUAAAAUGAAUUUAUCAAAAAUGAAAUCAUAUAACAAAAGGAAAAUUACAUUUUGAGCAACAACUGAUGUCUCCAAUUUCCAUUCACUAUACUGUUUAACAAAUUUAUUAUAGAAUAACAGCAUUACAAAUUCAUAUUUAUUUUUCUCAAAAUCAUAAUGCCCAAUGACACGCAUACCUGUUUCUUAAUUUUGUCGUCUAAAAUUCUUGCAUAUUCGGCAUUGGAUUGUCUCGUUUCUUCGACUUUUCUUUAGGAUGGUAUCUUGAAUCUUGAAGUUUCUCAUAAUUAUUUCUGUCUUUAUGUAUUGAAAAUUUUCUGCUCUUUAUUAUCUUUAAGAUUUUCUUUGUUUUUGGGUAUUUGCGGAUGAGGGUGAAACAAGGAUUUGUGCUUGUGGAAAUAUUCUGGUAGGAUAUCAAUUGAGUGUAUUUGGAAUAUACUCUCUACUUUUGCGCUGUACAUUUCAUGAAAAACAUGAUAUGUGGUUCAGUUCUUAUAUGUUGCAAGUUGCAGCAUAUGUAGCUGUGGGAUGUCUAAUGAUUGCACAAUGAGCCCUCUGCCAAUCAAGAGAAAUGGAAGAUUCAAGUUCUAUCUACAUAUAUAUACCUUUAAAUUCUAUUAUUCUUGACACCUUUGUUGCGGAAAAUAUGUCAUGCAGAUCUACAAGGCUCAAAGGAAUGUAAUUCUUUGCGCUUCAGCAUGUCUGCUUUACUGGUAUGUUGGCUAGAGAUCAUCAAAUGACCUCAUCUUUUUGUUUUAUUUCUUUACAAGUUUAAGCAAAUAAAAAACUUGAAGGUCUUUACUAUAUUUCUGGUCAUUUGAUAGUAAUCUACAAAUGUUGGGCGCAGGUGUCUUGUUCGCAUAUGCAAAUAUUACAAGGACAUUCAGAAUUUGGAAGAAGUUGAGAAGAGGUGCAAGGAGGAGUAGCUUUUCCCAGAUAGGCUUUUGUUUGGGAGUAGAAACAACCGAGUUCAUAAAUUUUUUUUUCAUCAUAAAUGGGAAACCGAUGUGACUUCUAGUAAUAUUGUAGUGUCUUCACUUUGUGUGGUUAAUUUGUUAGUCAUCAUCUAGUAUGUGUUUCUUUCACCUUUUUCUCGUAGCAAGCUCAAAUAUACUUUUUGUUGUCAACUAUAUAUGAAAAGUAAGACAAUUAUUAUUACUGCUUAGAGAUUUGGCCAUGGCCGGUCUAUUUAUCCUUGAUUGAAUAUAUGAAUUCCAAUCUCCCUUGAUUUGUUGAGAAUCAAGGAUGGUUGCGUGCCAUGAAUUCCAAGCGUGAGUUGAGAUACUUAACCCAGCCUAGAAUGUGCGAGCCUUUACAUGGUCUUCAUUUCAUUGGCGUAUGUUUUGCUUCAAGUUUUGUUUAUACUUGAUCUUAGAUUCAUAGUCGUACAUACCAAAGAAUUCAAUAGUUGAAAUGAGGUCUUCCAUUGCGAUAGUCUUGAGUGACCGAGUCUAUAUCCAAAUUGGGAAUUUAGUCAUCUGUUUACGUACGUAUGGCUCAGCUUUUCAAAUUCUCCAGUAUUGGGAAUGAUUUGGUAUGAAUUGCAGCGUAAACUUGGUUUCACAUACGCCUGCAUUGAUCACCCAGCCCGUCUCCAUCUGAACACCCCGAUGGAGGGGGGUUUAGUAUUUGCAGUAAGAUUUGAUCCACAUUGACCCAUCAUUCACACGCUUUCAGUUCACGACAAUUGCCCUUCAAAUUUCUAAAGAAUAAUAAUGCAUUAAUUCAGGCAUGAUAAUCAACGCACACAUCUGAUUCUCGAACAAAAGCAUCAUCAAGUCAAGGAUAAGGCAAAUUUCUCAAGAGGGUAUUUGUAUGGGCUUAAGAAUAAAUUAAAUAAUGAAUCGAGUCAAGAACUAAGCACACAUUUUCUUUCUUUCUCGAAUUAUAGGGUUUUCUUUAACAUUUUUGGGAAGACUUAAGGGAUUAAAUAAAUAAAUAAAAUAGUCUUAAUAAUCGGAUUUUGCCAAGUGAGAUCAUGCCUCCAAACAAUGGAACUAACCCAAGUUUUGGGCUUGUAUUAUAUAAGCAGAAUAAGACUGCUCUCCUACUGUUUUCCCACUUCCCACAUGGAGGAGGGGCUAACUAGUUGAAAAGAUUGAAAACGAAAACACAUUCUAAAUGUGCAAUACUUUUGACAGCUUGUCGUUUGUUUUUGGGUUUUGGUAGGUAGCAUACUAGCAUCCAUGAAGUAGCCAUGUCCUUAUUAGACGAAUAAGUUUGGGACGUUUUGGUUAGUUUUUGAAGAGGUGCAUAAAAUGAGCUUGAGUCGGUACCAACAAGUUGACAAUCCCUCCUGAGUCCUAACCAAAAGGAUGUAUGUUGAAUGUUGAUUAUUAUUGCAUGAUGCAUGUGGAAUUUUAUUUUCUAAAGCAUGUUUGGAAUGGAACACACAUCAAUCCCAUCCAUCACUGCUUGAUGACUUAGAUUGAUAUAAGCUAUAAAAAUGUCAAGGGCCAAGCCAACUUGUUUGACAUCUCACGCGAACAAGCGUUCAUAUCAAAAUACCAUUUAAGCUUUAUCUAUAUACACAUUGAAAUCUCUUUAUUCAAACAGACAGACUGAAACAUGUGACAUCAUGUGAAAAGAAUGGAAUGGAAUGGAACCUCUGUUUUCACUUCCCUCUAUUCAUCUUGCAGUAUUGUAUUGUAUUACAAGUUACAACUUCAACUUUGGAGAACAAAUUAACUGAUGAAAUGAAAAUUUAAGAAUUAUCAGAAAGAAAAGAAUUCAUAAAUGUUUUCUCUGGACGAAGAUCAAAAUGACCUUCUAAUGUUCUUGAAAUCUACAGACUCAAUGCAUUCCAACCCAGCUCUGUAAGGAUUCAGGAGUUUCAAAAGCUCAGUUGUCUUCUCCUUUGUGUUGUCAUCACCGCAACGAACCUGUAAAACUAACAGGAGCUUCUGAAAUGUACCAACUUGAAGGGCCUCAACAAGAACUCUUUCUUCUUGACUGCUUGCACACUUGCACAGCUUCCAAAUAGCAGAAAUUGAAUACUCAGUCGCCAUUUCUGAUACCCUCAAAAUCUUCUUGACCAAGACAGGUAUAGUGAGAGCAUUAGCAUAGGCCUUUUCCCUCCCAUCUUGGAAAUCGCAAAGACUAUCCAAAACACCCAAAGCCCUCUCACAUAUGCCUCUUUCAGAGUCGACAAGAAUUUCCAACAAUAUGGAAACUAAACCCAUCUCCAGAAAUGCUGAUUUGAUCUUCUCACUAGAUUUAGAAGAAGAAGAAGAUGAUGAUGAUGAAACCAAGUAGAAGACCACCAUCAGUGAAGCCUUGGUAAUCGUCGGAGAAAUUUUCUCUCUGAUGAAGUCGAAAAGUACCUCAUUCACUCCACCAAUCUCCGCCAACGCAUCAACAUGUUUAUUCCGGUCAUGGCAAGCAAGAAGCUCUUUCAAUGCUAAAAUAGCAUUUUGCUUUACUGAAAGAUCAUCACUCAUCUUGAGAAACCAAACCAUGCCGUGCAACGAAGCCUGAGACCCCAAGUAUUUGUGGGCUUCCUCAUCGAAAGCUGGAAGCAUCCAACUCAGCGCAGACAAUAUCUCUUCACAAACGGUGGCAUUUCUCUUUAUGCAAUCACUUGCAAAAGAAUCAAAGGCACCAGCUAGAACAGAGGCCGUCCCAUUCUCCGAGAUGCACCGCUUGUUGCGUUCGCUCUCAGCUCCCCACUUCUUGAUUUUGUGCACACAUUCUAAGCAGCCAUGUUGAUCCAAACGUCUAGCAGAGGCUCCGAUGCUGAAAAGAAUCUCAGAGACCUCCAUUGGCAAGACAGGAAUUCUGGGUGUUGGGACACGUUCGAUGCCGUAGUGCUUGUUUUGAGUGCACCACUCUUGAAUCAUUCUUCUGAGACUAUGGUUGGGAAUCUGAUCAAAGUUUCUCAGCACCUGAUUUGUUACCGGGCAAGUGAAAUUCCCGGCUUCGAGCCACGUGUCAAUACUCUGUCUAUCGUAGGUUAUUCCGGAUGACAAUGUAACCGGAUCCUUCAUCAGGUCCAGCGAUAUUGGGCACAGGAAGUGGUUUGGGAUGAGGGCUUCCAUGUCUAGGUCCCGGGGCUGCUUUUUCUUGGUGCCGUGGCCUGUUCUCCUUCUUGUCCAGCCUAAAACCAUUGCUUGCUGAUUAGCUAGCACAGAUUAAGUUUUGAUCAGAAAAGCAGUGAGAGAAGUUGAUUCUUCUGUUUUUGUUGGUGGUGUUUUUUGUUUGUGAAAAAAUAGGAGGGGAGGUGAUGGGGUUUAUAUACUAAUAAUACUAUAUGUUGUUCCGGCCACAACUUUUCAGGUUUUCAUACACGCGGUGUUCAAAGAUGAGACCAUUUUGCAUAUGGAGAGAAAUGGGAAAGAAUUGAAUAAGUAAACAAAUUCAAGCAGAGGGUUUUAGGAAUAGUACAAUUUGAAUGUUGACCGUUGAAGCUUUGAAAGUUUUAAAAUUAACCGUCAAAAGCGGGGAAGUGGUAAAAGUAAGCUCUUCCUUCAUGGGCCUCAAAUGUACCAAAUAAACGAAUUAUGUUUUUAAAUUAUGAUGAGCUACUUUAAGUAUGGGGUUAUGUAUGAGGAUGAGGUUUUGACGCGUUGACCGAGAUUCUUUUCUUCUUCUUCUUCCGUUUUUUUUUUCUUAAUCUGAAAUUCUGAAUCAGAUAUGACGAACAAGACCGAUAUCUCAGCUGUUACAUUUUUUUCAUUUUUUCUUGUAAGUCUUUUUUUAAAAAUUUAUUUAUUUGAAAACGGAAAAUUACAAGCAAAGCAAAAACCACCAGAACACGCAGGCCCAAACAAAUCGAAGUAAAAAGAAGAGAACAUCAAUUUUUUCUUGUAAGUCUUCAUUGGUGUUUUUUUUAAUUUAUUUUUUUUCUUCGUAGUAUGUAGUAGGAGAAAAGGAAAAACAAAAAAGUCAGUCACCUCAACUUUGUAAGAACGAGUCCUAGGCUCCUCCUUAUCAGACUCUCUCAGCU